AAGCAGGGUUUGAUGUGCAGUAUGUGCCUGAAAUGUCUGCUUCUGGUUUCCUUACACAGGAGGAUGGUCCUAGCUUUUGUGGAUUUGGGAGACCAGCUGAUAGAAAGUACAUGGUCCUUGCCGUAGCUUCUGCUUUUUCUUGUGCUCAUCACUAACUCCACAUAUGAAACAGCAAGUCCGAAAAAAAUCACUSGGAUAUGGCAGGGGGAAAAGGCUGGAAUGCUACUUGGCAAAYCUUAGACACCAGACAGUAAAGCGUSGCUACUGUAAACAAGGUUCUCCUCUGAAGGAUUUCACAAGUUUGAGUAUAGAAGGUGAUUUGCUUAUUCUCUAGUUCAGAAGAGGGGAGGGACGUCCUUUCAGAUUUCAGAAGAAGGUGAAAAAUGCGACUUUUUAGAUGUCCAGGUCCUGUUGUGAAACUGCUGGAUAUGRGAGCAUGGUCAAAGUUGCACAGUAGGCAUCGCCUGGAAAGGAGAAACACUGAGGAACUGCUGCUUCUGCUCUUAUAACUCCAUUCUCAGGGAAAUUUCCUCCUUUACAGCAGUUGCCUUACUUAAAACAAGAAUGAGAUUGUUUCAGGUAACCGU
rnacentral:lncRNA from 1 species